GACGAACGCUGGCGGCGUGCUUAACACAUGCAAGUCGAACGGAAAGACCCUGCUUUUGUGGGGUGCUCGAGUGGCGAACGGGUGAGUAACACGUGAGUAACCUGCCCUUGACUUUGGGAUAACUUCAGGAAACUGGGGCUAAUACCGGAUAGGAGCUCCUGCUGCAUGGUGGGGGUUGGAAAGUUUCGGCGGUUGGGGAUGGACUCGCGGACUAUCAGCUUGUUGGUGGGGUAGUGGCUUACCUAGGCUUUGACGGAUGACCGGCCUGAGAGGGUGUCCGGCCACAUUGGGACUGAGGUACGGCCCAGAAUCGUAAGGGAGGCAGCAGAGGAGAAUAUUGCACAGUAGGCGGAAGCGUGAGGCAGCAACGCCGCGUGCGGGAUGACGGCCAUCGGAUUGUAAAGCGCUUUCGCUAUUGAGGAAGCGAGCAUGACGAUAAGAGGUGAAGAAGCACCGGCUAACUACGUG
rnacentral:rRNA from 1 species